rnacentral:lncRNA from 1 species
AAUAUCUGCACCGGAAAUCCAGCUCAGAGACAAACCAAUCAUGCAGACCAUCUGCUUGGUCCAGACAGAUAAUGCCACUUUCAUUGUUCCCAUAAGCUGGUAAGCAGCUUUUUUUAACAAGACGAAACCUUUAGGCUGGGAAAUUUUGAUGUAGGAGGCUUGCAUAUCCUGUUCCGGCUGGCUAGAUGUUGAUUUACGCAUUAUACAGAACCGAGACUGCUGAAUUAUGAAAUAAGCCAUUUUAUAUUUUGUGCAUGUGCGUUUUCAGGGGCAGUGUGUGGACACGUAGUGUUGUGUUUUUCGGAUCAAAACAGAUCGGCUUUUACAAUACCGGACAGCAAAGAAUGACUCGAGCGAAUUAGGUCAGUUCAAUGCCAUCAUUAUUUAUUUUAUUAUAAUAACAUUUAUGAGUCACCUCCCGCAAAAUAUUAGGGCACUGUGCAGCAACAUACAAAAAAACCCCUCCAAAAUGAUACAGAAUAAUCAUUGAAUUGACCAGCUGCUCAAAGGACCUUUUAGACAACGGCACAGCCCAUCCUAUACUUUUAAACCACAUUGAAAGCACACACACCCCACAAGAAUCCUGGGAACUGUAGUUUGUUAAGGGUGCUGGGAAUCGUAGCUCUGUGACAGGUAAAUUAGUUCCCAGAAUUCUUUGGGGGAAGCUAUGCAGUUUCAAACGAUGGGUGGGUGUAGCAUAUAAACACGUGAAGAUGCUCCCAGAAUCACAUGCUUAACACAAAAUCCAGCCAGCCCUCAGGGCAGUGGGUAUUAGAGGACUCUGUGCAGGAGACAGGCCUGUAAGAGUGCCAGCCUAGUGUUGUCUUCGCCUGCCUCUUGUUGGAAGUGCAACAGCAGAGAUCAUUCAGUUUGUAACCUAAGGGGUUAAAUCUGUUCUCAGUGUUAGUCUAUUACCCAAGCCUUGUGUGUCGUGGUGUUGCUUAGCAACCUGCCAAAGUGGCAUGAUAUUUGCUGAGGUAGCAUGGGCUCUGAUUGGCUGUGUAGUUCUGAGGGAGUUUUGUAGCUCUAUGAUGCGCUGAAUGUCUCUCUGCUAUGUACAAGGCCCAAAGGAAGAAAGACAAAGCCUUUCUCUUCAAAUUAUAUGUUUUUUUCCAGUUUCACUCAGUAAUGUCUUAUCAGGAUUUUUCUCAGUGGACUCUGCCUGCAUUACUUAAACUGGGUUUGCUAACAUGUUCAAGGGGCAUGUCCUGUGUAGGAGAGGCAUCCCAGCCAGAUGGGCGGGGUAUAAAUAAUAAAAUUAUUUUCUGAGCAGUUAUGUACUGAGACUUUUCAUGGCUGCCAAAGGAAGCGCUGGUGGUCCUUUGGCACCUGUGGGCACCAUGUUGGGAACCCUGAGGGAAGAGAUGGCAAUGUGUUCAAGGUCAACCAGUGAGCUCAAUGGCCAAGCAGGGAUACCCAAACCUCUCCACUCCUAGCCCAGUGUUAGAAUAACUAUGCCACACUGGCUUUAUUGAGCGCAGUGCAGGGGUAGUUUUGAGGAAGCCCAUUGACUUCUGUGCUGGAUGGCGACCUCUCGUUUUCCCUCCACCCAUCAGAGAUUCCUCUUGUCUAUCAGCAGGAAGCAAUCCGGUUUUAAUUUCCCAGUAGGAUUGCGGUGAUGAGAGAUAAUUUUGGAGCCGAUAAAGUCCUAAGAAUCUACAGGCGUUUCAACAAGGCUUGUCCCUGCCAGGAAUCCCAAGCCCUUCCUGUGCUCUUGGCAGGGCGCCAGACUCCAGACAGCAAGCCCAGGCCUUCUAACAAACAGUGGGCAGUUAUUUAGGCAUUUAAACGGCGCUUCUUUAGAUGCAGGUUUGCACUUCAAUCAAAAGGGACGCGGGUGGCGCUGUGGGUUAAACCACAGAGCCUAGGACUUGCCGAUCAGAAGGUCGGCGGUUCAAAUCCCAUUGCUCGGUCCCUGCUCCUGCCAACCUAGCAGUUCGAAAGCACGUCAAGUGCAAGUAGAUAAAUAGGUACCGCUCCAGCGGGAAGGUAAACGGCGUUUCCGUGCACUGCUCUGGUUCGCCAGAAGCAGCUGAGUCAUGCUGGCCACAUGACCCGGAAGCUGUACACCAACUCCCUCGGCCAAUAAAGCGAGAUGAGAACCGCAACCCCAGAGUCGGCCACGACUGGACCUAAUGGUCAGAGGUACCUUUACAUUUACCUUUGCACUUCGAUCACAACGCCAGCAGCAAUGUAAGGGCAUCAGAUUCCAUAAGUGUGUGCAUAAGAAGCUUUCACCAACCUACUGCCUUUCAGAUAUUUUGGACUACAAUUCCCAUCAGCCCCCAGCUGAAGGGAGUUGUUGUCCAAAACUUCUAGAGGCCAGCAGGUUAGCAAUGGCUGGUGUGCAGCUUUGCAUAGGAAGAUGCCUUAUCUAAAUCAAACUAUUGCUCUGUUUACUUCAGGAUUUUCUUCACUGGUUGCUUUCCAGGGGUUUCAUACCAGAAUGUGCAAUUCAUCCAGCCCAGACACUGAGGUCCAGCGCUGAGGGCCUUCUGGCGGUUCCCUCGCUGCGAGAAGUGAGGUUACAGGGAACCAGGCAGAGGGCCUUCUCGGUAGUGGUGCCUGCCCUGUGAAACGCCCUCCCAGCAGAUGUCAAGACAAUAAACAACUAUUUUUCUUUAAAAUACAACUGAAGGCGG